rnacentral:rRNA from 1 species
GAAUCCGCUAAGGAGUGUGUAACAACUCACCUGCCGAAUGAAUUAGCCCUGAAAAUGGAUGGCGCUCAAGCGGGCGGCCGACACCACGCCGUCUGGACAAGAAAAGAUUCAGAUGAGUAGGAGGGCGUGGCGGUUGUUUCGAAGCGCCUGUGCAAACGGGUGUGGAACGGCCGCUAGUGCAGAUCUUGGUGGUAGUAGCAAGUAUUCAAGCGAGAUCCUUGAAGGGCGAAGCGGGGAAGGGUUCCACGCGAACAUUGAUUGGGCGUGGGUGAGUCGUUCCUAAGCCGAGUGGCAAUUGCUAAGUAGCGGCGAAAGGGAAGCGGGUUGAAAUUCCCGCACACGGAUGUGGAGGCGGUGACGCUUAUUGAGACAAACACGUUGGCGAUGGCGCUGGGCAGAGUUGUCUUUUCUGUUUGACCUGUGGUGCGCUGUGUGGAAUCCGAUUGUUGGGAGAAACACGCGUGUGUGGGCAGAGCGCCGGGGUUUUUCCGGCGUCCAGCUCGCCAUCGACGACCCUUGAAACUUUGUCUGCUGAAUGAAUCCACGCCGUGGCGUACCGAUUACCGCAUCAGGUCCCCAAGGUGAACAGCCUCUGCUCAAUAUGAACAAUGCAGGUAAGGGAAGUCGGCA